rnacentral:misc_RNA from 1 species
CGGUAAUACAAGACACCUUAGAAAAUCCAAAACAAACAUAAGAAAAAGAAACCUCUCUCCAAACCUUAUCGCAGCGAAAAUGGCACUGAUGCUCUCCUGCGAGACCGGACCUCUUUUCCUCUCUAACUCUAAACUCUCCGGCCGUCUUCCUCUCAAACCCGCCGUCGCUCUCUCUUCUCAGAUCCAAGAACCUCUAAAACCUUUCUCUUUUUCCUUUAACGCCCACAAAACACCUCUAGCCUCCAUAUUCAUCGCCAAACAACCAAGGUUUAGGGUUUCGGCUUCGGUACCCUCGCAGCACUCACAAAUCCCCACUCUUUCCCCUCCUACUGAUUCACAAGACCUAAUCACUGGGUCAACACGGACUUUGACAACCAUCGUGAUCCUAGCGUUCUCCGUGUCGCGGCUAUUUAUAAAUUCAAUUCAGAAAUUGGCGGUGUCAGUUGGAGGAAUUUCGAUUUUGCCUAAUCUCAAUGAAUUGGCGGCAAUUCAGGCUCUACAAAGCAACCUGGUUCACUCGGUGGGCCCGUUAUUCUUCGCAGCCCUCAAGGACCGUCCCAGCGGAUAUUUGAACACUCCUUUGACGGUUGUGGCGGCUGGUUUGGCCAAAUGGCUUGAUAUAUACAGUGGGGUUUUGAUGGUUAGGGUUUUGCUCAGUUGGUUUCCUAACAUUCCAUGGGACCGCCAGCCAUUAUCGGCUAUAAGGGACCUCUGUGAUCCGUAUUUGAACUUGUUUAGGAACAUAAUUCCUCCCAUUUUCGAUACUCUUGAUGUGAGCCCGCUUCUGGCCUUUGCAGUAUUGGGUAUGCUCGGCUCCAUUCUCCAUGGCAGCGGUGGAGUGUAUUGAAGAGGAAAGGUGGGUGAUCAGGACGCCUUUUAUUCAGUAAGAAGUAAUUUUUGAAUUUUGUGUUAAAUCUUUUCUGAUACUUCUGGCUUAGCGGUUUUAAUGAUUGUAAUACUGUAAUAGAUCAGUUUGGUUGAGAUAUAUAAAUUUUGGAAACCUUACUUGUCAUGUUAUUGCUCUCUGACAAUUUUAUAAGUUGUUUGCUGCAUUUUUCAUAUCAUAUGUGUUUCUUCUCCCCACUUUGAUGGAUGGAUAUUAUGGAAAGAAAAUUGGAUGC